rnacentral:lncRNA from 13 species
UUACUUUUUAUUGUUGAUAUGCAAUUUUUGUCUCCUUAGGAGAUUUGGAGCUGAAACGAGAUUGUUCCUUAACCUCCCUCAUGACAUGCAAGAAGGGUGUGGCUCAUCUGCUCUGCUACCACUCACACUCAAACACCUUACAGGAAGGGAAGCACAAAGAAUGACAAGUGCAGGAGCUGGGAGAUGGAGUUUCACCAUGUUGCCCAAGCUGUUCUCAAACUCCUGAGCUCAAGUGAUCCACCAACCUUGGCCUCCCAGAGUGCUGGGAUUACAGAGACGGGAUUUCACCAUGUUGACCAGGAUGGUCUCGAUCUGUUGACCUCGUGAUCCACCUGCCUCGGCCUCCCAAAGUGCUGGGAUUACAGGCGUGAGCCACUGCUCCCGGCCCAAGCUUUGCUUCUUUUGGACCUUCUCGCCUUCAUCUUCUCUAUAGUUUCAGUGGUUCAGCCUCCUUUCAUUCAGUCUCCAGUGUAUGCAUUCUCUACUCCAUAUAAAGGCAACUGCUGAAGUGAGGCAGCAAGAGAUGAGAGGAGGAGAAUCUAAAAGGCUCAGAUUCUGAAGGAGAAAGAAGAGAAGACUUUAGAAUGGUCUAACCUGGGAAUUGAAUAGCUGAAAGCAAACUGAGCAUUAACCCUGAGGAAAUUAACAUCAAUUUCAAGCUUAUUAUUUAAAAAAAAAAUCCAUGUCUAUGGAGCAUCUUUUCUGGAUUUAAGUUAAAUAACAAAAAGAAAUAGGAUCGGAUUUGAGAAGUAGUAGUGUAGGCAGUAAGAGAGAAAAUAAAAAUUGUGGCAUCACAUUUGCA